AGAGUUUGAUCAUGGCUCAGAACGAACGCUGGCGGCAGGCCUAACACAUGCAAGUCGAGCGCCCAGCAAUGGGAGCGGCGCACGGGUGAGUAACACGUGGGGAACGUGCCUUUCGGUUCGGAAUAACCCAGGGAAACUUGGGCUAAUACCGGAUACGCCCUUAGGGGGAAAGAUUUAUUGCCGAAAGAGCGGCCCGCGUCCGAUUAGCUUGUUGGUGAGGUAAAAGCUCACCAAGGCGACGAUCGGUAGCUGGUUUGAGAGAACGAUCAGCCACACUGGGACUGAGACACGGCCCAGACUCCUACGGGAGGCAGCAGUGGGGAAUCUUGGACAAUGGGGGAAACCCUGAUCCAGCCAUGCCGCGUGAGUGAUGAAGGCCCUAGGGUUGUAAAACUCUUUCGGCGGGGACGAUAAUGACGGUACCCGCAGAAGAAGCUCCGGCUAACUUCGUGCCAGCAGCCGCGGUAAUACGAAGGGGGCUAGCGUUGUUCGGAAUUACUGGGCGUAAAGCGCGCGCAGGCGGUUCUUUAAGUCAGGGGUGAAAGCCCAGAGCUCAACUCUGGAAUUGCCUUUGAAACUAGAGAACUUGGGUACGGGAGAGGUGAGUGGAAUUCCGAGUGUAGAGGUGAAAUUCGUAGAUAUUCGGAAGAACACCAGUGGCGAAGGCGGCUCACUGGCCCGUUACCGACGCUCAGGCGCGACAGCGUGGGGAGCAAACAGGAUUAGAUACCCUAGUAGUCC
rnacentral:rRNA from 1 species